ACACUCCUACGGGAGGCAGCAGUGGGGAAUAUUGCACAAUGGGCGCAAGCCUGAUGCAGCCAUGCCGCGUGUAUGAAGAAGGCCUUCGGGUUGUAAAGUACUUUCAGCGGGGAGGAAGGCGAUAAGGUUAAUAACCUUGUUGAUUGACGUUACCCGCAGAAGAAGCACCGGCUAACUCCGUGCCAGCAGCCGCGGUAAUACGGAGGGUGCAAGCGUUAAUCGGAAUUACUGGGCGUAAAGCGCACGCAGGCGGUCUGUCAAGUCGGAUGUGAAAUCCCCGGGCUCAACCUGGGAACUGCAUGCGAAACUGGCAGGCUAGAGUCUUGUAGAGGGGGGUAGAAUUCCAGGUGUAGCGGUGAAAUGCGUAGAGAUCUGGAGGAAUACCGGUGGCGAAGGCGGCCCCCUGGACAAAGACUGACGCUCAGGUGCGAAAGCGUGGGGAGCAAACAGGAUUAGAAACCCCUGUAGUCCCAUAU
rnacentral:rRNA from 1 species